AUGUCUCUUACCACAGCUUCCUUCGCCGCGCCCGCUUGCUCCUCAUCCUCCUCCUGGCCGCCGCUACCCAGGUGGCCGUGCCGGCUACCCAGACCGGCGAGGGGCUGCCGCCGCCUGGCGGUGCGGGCGGACGUCAAGGUGAUAUCCUCCGGCGACGCUUGCCGCCGCGGGCUCGCCGCCGGCAUCCACAAGCUCGCCGAUGCCGUCUCCGUCACUCUCGGUCCCAAAGGGAGGAAUGUUGUUAUUGAUCAAGAUGAUGUUCCUAAAGUAAUUAAUGAUGGUGUCACAAUCGCCAAGGCUAUAGAACUUCCAAAUUCACUUGAGCAUGCAGGGGCCAUGCUACUUCAAGAGAUAGCAACCAAGACAAACAGUACUGUUGGGGAUGGAACCACGACAGCGAUUAUUUUGGCCCGAGAAAUCAUCAGCCUUGGCUUAUUGGCCGUUGCCAACGGUGCUAACCCAGUUGCUUUAAGAAAGGGCAUUGACAAAGCUGUUCAUGAACUGCUUGGGAUCUUGAAGACAAAAUCUAUCCCUGUGAGUACAAAGGAGGACAUAAAAGCUGUAGCAUCAAUAUCAGCUGGCAAUGAUGAAUAUGUUGGCAAUCUCAUUGCCGACGCAUUGGAGAAGAUAGGUCCUGAUGGAAUAAUCAAAAUCGAGUCAUCAUCUUCCAUAUAUACUUCAGUUGAGNNNNNNNNNNNNNNNNNNAUAGACAAGGGUUACACCUCACCUCAUUUCAUCACAAAUCCAGACAAAGCAAUUGUUGAAUUUGAAAAUGCUAGAGUGCUUUUAACUGAUCAACGGGUGAAUGAAAUCCAAGAGAUACUUCCUUUGCUGGAGAAGACCACACAGUUGAGUGUCCCUUUGUUGAUUAUUGCCGAGGAUAUUUCACAUUCGGUGUACUCGACUCUGGUUCUUAACAAACUGAAUGGUUUGCUAAAUGUUGCGGUUGUCAAAUGUCCUGGUUUGGGAGAUGAAAAGAAGGCUAUUCUGCAAGAUAUUGCCAUUAUGACAGGUGCAGAUUUCUUUGUUAGUGACCUUGGUUGGGGUCUUCAAGCAAUUACAUCUGACCAGCUGGGUAUGGCUCAAAAGAUCACUAUCACGAGUGAAUCUACAACUAUAAUUGCACAUCCCUCUAUGAGACCAGAGAUUGAGGCUAGGAUUAUGCAACUAAAGAAAGAUCUAGAGGAGACAACAAGUACCUAUCUAAAAGAAAGGUUUUCUGCAAGAAUUGCUAAACUCUCAAGAGGUGUAGCAGUUAUCAAGGUAGGGGCAGCCACUGAAGCUGAACUUGAGGACAGAAAGCUGAGAGUGGAGGAUGCGAAGAAUGCAACUUUUGCAGCCAUCAGCGAAGGCAUCACACCUGGUGGUGGUGUAACAUAUGUUGAACUGUCUAAGCAUAUUCCCAGUAUCAUGGAUCUCGUGGAUGACCCGGAAGAGAAGAUUGGUGUAAAUAUUGUGGGGAAGGCACUCCUUGUCCCUGCUAUGACGAUAGCUCGCAAUGCCGGCGCAGAUGGUUCAGCUGUCGUAGAGAAGAUUCUUGAAAGCGAGUGGCGAGUUGGGUACAAUGCGAUGACAGAUAAGUUCGAAGACCUUGUUGAUGCCGGGGUGGUUGAUCCGUGCCGGGUUGCAAGAUGCGUGCUCCAGAACUCUGCUUCUAUUGCAGGGCUAAUUCUAAUGACCCAAGCAAUGAUGUUUGAUAAGAUAAAGAAGAAAAAGUCGCCCAUUCCUGAAAUUCCAGGCCUCCCGCCGUUGCAGAUAAAUCAAAAUUCUUAG
rnacentral:rRNA from 1 species